UACGUAGGGUGCAGGCGUUAAUCGGAAUUACUGGGCGUAAAGCGUGCGCAGGCGGUUUGCUAAGACAGGUGUGAAAUCCCCGGGCUUAACCUGGGAACUGCGCUUGUAACUGGCAAGCUAGAGUGUGGCAGAGGGGGGUGGAAUUCCACGUGUAGCAGUGAAAUGCGUAGAGAUGUGGAGGAACACCGAUGGCGAAGGCAGCCCCCUGGGCUAACACUGACGCUGAGUGAGCGAAAGCCAGGGGAGCAAACGGG
rnacentral:rRNA from 1 species